UACUUUCUCGGAACAGAACAAAAGCGGUAACACAUAGGGUGGGCAGGCUGCACAGAACAAGAAAGUUUACGAUGUAACCUUAUUGCUGAUGAACUAAAAUCAAUGAUGGUAAAGAGAUGCAUAUGAAUAGAAUACCAGCAAAUGGAUAUGUACGCAAUGGAAAAAGUGAGCAAGAUGAGCUUUGCACUGACUAGUAACUUUUACUUCGCCAUGUAUCUAUUUCCCCUUUCUUUGAUUUACCAGUUUUUUAAAACAUUAUUCAAAAAUGUUAAUUCUGGGCUCAAAUAUGAGUCGCACAUAGUGGGCUACAAGUUAACUUUGACCGCUUGAGGACAUGCGCCUUAAUUUAAAUACACUUUUUUUUUGCCGUCUUGCCCCCAUCAAAAUAUGGCUACCAUAGUCAGGAAUCCAACCCACACCCUGGUGCUUGCCAGUGCAACACCUUGGCUUCUAGGUUACCACGGCUGCCAAAAGCUUGCUCUAAUCUUAACAAAUUUUGCCUUUGCUGCCCGAUUCCUGGCUGGAGCUCUUUAGUGGGUACUUGUUGCAGGCAGUCUCAGACCUCAUCGAUCUUAUUUGUAAAGGGGUUUCUGUCAAAAAAAUAACUAAAUGUGGCACAAAAAGAAAAGAGAAUAGUGUAAACAAAUAUCGUGCCUAAAAGUUGCAAAGAUGGUUAGAACAUUUGUCUCAUAUAGCUGUGAUGGCAGACUGAAACUUUCACAAUAUAACCUUGUGUAAUAUGCUAUGGCUAUUUGAGACGUGUUUUCCCCUGUUCGAUGCUCCGCUUCAUCCGAAGUACUUAGCUUGAGCCCACAUGUGUGUGUAAAUCGCAGAAAGAGGUCCAAGCAAGGCGAUCGUUUAAAGGUAGAUGGAGGCUUGGAAUGACGAGAUGUCAUGGAGCCAAUGUUUUGGCAAGUGGACUUGUUUUCAUCAGGGCACCAGCUGCAUUCCUUUCAAGCGUGUUUGCGUACACCUUGGUCACUCUACCCCAGCCUCACAUGCUUGCACUUCUCCUCCUCGAAUUUUGCCAAACAUUCACUCCAGCAACGUUGCCUAUAAAUUGCAGUGAGCAUUUUGUGUGUAUGAUCAAAUAUAAGACCUUGCUGACAUGCUCAAGAUCAGCAACAGGCUAAAGGCCAACCGCAGUGAUUUUUUUACCAUGUCUAGGUAUUGGCUAUUCUAUGUUCUUGAGACGCUUCUGUGACGCGCCUGAUAGUAGAGAUUCACAGCAAAUUUGAAAAUAAUAUUAAAUAAGCGAAAAGGCGCAAAACCAAAACCAAACAGCAGUACUGUCCCUGUGCGACGUAUUAAGCGGCACCAACCAGAAGUCGUGCAAGGCAUGUCAGCUUGGCCAGUGCAAAGAACGAAAGCUGCGAAAUCCAUGAAGAGCAGAUGCUCAGUGGAAACGUGACCACACUGCGCCAUUCGUGCCAUGUCCCUAGUUGAACAGGAUCUUUUAGCAGUGCUGGUUUAUCGCAUGGAAACUCUUUAUAUAACGUACUAUAUUGGGUCUGUCCAUGUACAAUAAGCUGCGCAUCGUGCGACAGGUAGUCCUCACUUUUCUUGCAUUAAAUUUCAUCGAUUCUAUCGCCACGACACUAAAUGCUCUUGUUCACAAACUUAUGCAUUCUUCCCAUAACAAUAUUAAGAAAGUCUUUGUUUUUCCACAAACUUCUUAGAGUUAGCGUUUUGCCUUUUACCUGAUUACCAUAGCCACAAACUUGAGUUUCCUAGACAGGCGAUGCCAUCUGAUAGUGAAGAGACAAUCUAGGCAUGAAAUGCCUAGGCAGUCAAGGUAAUCAAUAAAAUUCAUUUGUAAGCAAUUUGCUCAUCUCUCAAACCUAUAAUUUUGCAUAAAUGACAGAACUUUGCAAGGAAACGUAACCAGCGAAUUUCAUUGAGAUCCCUAGACCUAAAAAAGUCGCUGCAGUUGGCCUUUAAGUGAGCAUGUAAAGUUGAUCCUAUGAAGUCCUGAUGGAAAUUUGCCAUUUGCUCUGUACAAGAGGCACUUCCCAGCCUCUUUGAACAAAGGAUCGGUGCACGUAAAGAAUUGCAGCACCAACAUGAAAUUGUGGGUUCAUACAAGCAUGUUUUCUUGUGAAAGCCCUUGAACAACAAAGUUAGUUGCAAAUCUAAAGCUCGUCUGGCUGACUUAAUUUGCUUUUUUGUGCUCUACUUAGAUGCCCCCUUGACUUUGCUCUUCCAGCCGGCCCAAGUCAGCAGAUGUACAGUGCUAAGGGAUUUCCCCUCUCUCUCCGAUACUUGUCCUGCAGGUCUUCCUGGAAGCUCUGGUGUCCUUUCUCUGGGCACGCACAGGCGCUGGAAGCUGCUGCAAUGUAAUUACUGCCCGUUCGUGAGCCGCUUUGAGAGCGCCAUCCGCAGGCACCAGCUUCGGCACACCAAGGAGAGGCCACAUCGAUGCGAGUUCUGCCCAAAGAGCUUCCAGCGCAGGUAUCAACUCACUCAGCACAUGGCGAUCCGUCACGGCACCAAGCCUGCCCCCCGGCAAAAGGUGCAAGACUUUGGUGACCACACAGCCUUGCUCGAUCCUGCAAAUGAGUCAUCUGAAUUUGAAAUGGAUAUGGGAGUGAACAUGUUCCAGUUUUAAAUGCGGGACUAAAGAAAUCAAGCAAGGUCGUGAGGUGUUGCAGAGGUGCAGUGGGCAAGUCUUCCAGGGUUCCGCAAUGCCGGUGCAUCCUUGAGUUCUGAACGUGUGAGAGUUUAUGCAUUUGAUGUUGCACCAGGAAGAUGUUUUGUGCAAAGCUCACAAGUGUACAUACAUUGGGCUCCGUCCAAACACAAGAAAAAAGAAGUGUUUGCUUUAUUGAAAGCUUCGUUCAGGCAGAAAGCACUGCAGCUUGAAAUGCUGAUCUUGUUUCACCUCAGGAUAGUGCUAAUUAGGGUGAUAUUUGGCUCUACUUAAUUUCUCACAGCACAAGGGGUCUGUGUGCCAUAACAAUUCUCCGGAGUCAGUGUGUUUAACCUUUUGAGAUGAUAUGUACACAAUUGUGUACACCACUUCGUCUUACUAUUUGUAUCGACUAGGGGCCAAGAAAGAGCACGAUACAUUGAGCUUUAAAUUAAUUGAACCUCCUUCAUAAUAAAUUUGUCUUCAUUUAACUUCAUUUGACAGGGUUAGAAGUACUAACAAUGCAUAAUCUUGGUUUCCUUCACAUUGAGUUGGUGCAUCACCAUGUUGCACACCAGGUAAUAAUUGAGCCAUCGUCACAACUCUCACUUCAAUUACUUCUGCACAAUCAAUAGAGUUCAUUGUCUUCGUUACCUUGUCAAAUACAAGUGAUUUGCUAAGUGGCUACUUAACUACCACUCAGGACAGUCCAUAGGAUGCACACAGCUGUCAAAAAACUGAACAAAGUGAAUGCCAAAGAGUAGCUUACUAAAGCAGCAAGGCAAUAGUUUUGUGAAACAGAGUUCCUUGAACAUUCAGCGUUGCCUACCCAAAUGUUUGGUAGACUGCUGCUGUUCUAUACAUAUUGCAACAUCCAACAAAGACUGAAGUAGUUUCGAUACCAGUAAGGUUGUCCAAUGUUCACAGAGUGCCUGUAUGCGACCAACCGAAUCUGUGUCCACCUCUUUGUUCUUCUCAAGCGAACCGCAAUUCACCAUUGUGUGCUGUAUGCAGCAAGGUGCAUUUCACAAAAAAGUUGUGGUUUUGCCUGAAGGUAGCUGUGGCAGUGUGUCUAACAUCCAUAAAAAGAGUUUGGUAUAUCGCCCCUGUAUAUCGCAGUGAGCAUUUACAUGCAAAUAAAAUCGAGUACAGUGCGUGUGCGUGCACAGGCAAACGCGGACACCUCUUAUUUUAUGGCUGCAAACUCUUGUCUUCCACAGUGUUGGCAUAAUGAGCAGUGUAAACAGAAGUGAGCAAAUGCACUCAGUCGCUUCUUGCUUCUUCAAGAUGAGUCAAGCUGCAACGUUAAGCGUGUACAGAUCCAUGAAUGCUGGCGGAGAGAGUUGCAUGAGCCCCUCAUCUUGCUCAGUCCUUGAAACAGCUGCAGAUUACAUCCAAGAUUGGGUGCGCAGGCAUUUUUGUGACAACCUAUGCUGGCAUGGAGGGCAUCGUCUUUCACUACUCUGACCUUCCCAUGUGGGGCUGACUGGAAGUGGUAUUUGCACUUCACCCGCCGCCUGCCAAGACUGCAUGCUCCUUCGCAUGCUUUCU
rnacentral:lncRNA from 1 species